rnacentral:rRNA from 1 species
UACGUAGGGUGCAGGCGUUAAUCGGAAUUACUGGGCGUAAAGCGUGCGCAGGCGGUCUGCUAAGACAGGGGUGAAAUCCCCGGGCUUAACCUGGGAACUGCGCUUGUUACUGGCAGGCUGGAGUGUGGCAGAGGGGGGUGGAAUUCCACGUGUAGCAGUGAAAUGCGUAGAGAUGUGGAGGAACACCGAUGGCGAAGGCAGCCCCCUGGGCUAACACUGACGCUCAUGGACGAAAGCUAGGGGAGCGAAAGGG